rnacentral:lncRNA from 1 species
GAAGCUUUGAAAGGGGUUUAGAUGAGUGGUUUGGUGUUGGUAGGUUCGGUUUAGAUUAGAAACAAGGUAGGAUAGAAAAGGUAAUUGAUGGAGAUGGAAAAUAGAACUUAAACGUCAAGAAAGUUUCAAUACUAUAAUGAGUAUCGCCCCAAAUCUUAUAUGGUUUAAGGUGAAAAGAUGGAAACAGGAAUAUGGACCUCGACCCGUUACUUAACAAAGUAAGAACCGAAGGUAUAUUGAAAUGGAUAAAAGCCACACCAGGAUUGGUGAUAAGUUUGGAAGAAGUUCGGUUGACGCCACUAGCACGCUAGAUAAGCCAAAUCGAGACUUGUACAAAAUUGGAGAGGAGAAAACCUCACAGGAACAAUAGUUCAUUCAAUAAAAUGUCAAAAGUUCUAACCUUAAAAUGAUUGCAAAAGCAACUAUUUAUAGCCUCUAAAAUUCCUAUUGAAAUUCGGCUAUUGAUGUGUUCACACAACAAUUAAAAGGGUUCCCACUAAAACAUUAAAGAUGGUUCAUGAAUUCGGCAGAUUCAUGCAUUAGCUGAAUAGACACUUUCUUCCCCAUUGGUAUGUACAUGCAUGGGACAUGGGACUAAAUUUGAAACAGUAUUAAAUAUGAUGCAUGGGACUAAAUUUUUAGCAUUACCCUUUUAAUCCCCCUUGGCUGAAUGCUAGAUGCAUGGGACAUGCAUCCCUCUUAAUUGAAGCUUUAAUGAUGACUUAAGUCAUGAAUGGCAGCAUGUACCUUGAAAAUUCGUUCUCCUCUUUGUGCAUGCACAUUAUUCAUUCAAUGUGCUGAAUUUAUGUGUCAACUCCCCCCUUGGAAGUUCUUGAAGGUGAAGGUGCCAUGCAUAUGCUUUAAUUGAAUCAUAAUGGCGUCUUAAGCACAUAGAUGGGCAAUUGGCAUUUAAGUGAUUCAGCCCCUUCUUUCGAUGCAUAUAUGUGCUGGUACAUGGGCUGAAUUAAUGAGCUUAUUAGUCAUGAACUUGGAGCAUGUAUCUUGGAGAUUCAAGGCAUGACAUUAAAUCUCGUACAAUUCCCUUUGGAGUGCAUAAAUGGACAGAUUCGUUCCUCUUGAUUAAUUCCUAUAUGAGCAAAAUUGACCAGCCACAAUCUUCACCUUUAAGGAAUGCACAUGACAUGAAUUUGGGCUUCCAUGUGAUCGGUCACAAUGCACCUUCAUUGAAGCAUCUUCAUUGUUGUCCAUGCAUGUAUUAUCUUCAAUGCUGUCCAUGCAUGUACCUACAAACAAACAAAUUAAAUUCAGCUAAGAAAUUUAGAUCAAGACAAAUUAAAUUCGGCUGGACAAAAUUAAUUGAAACAUGAAUUUAAUUUGUCCCAAACUUAGACACAAUUAAAUAACUAAUAAACAACUAUUAAAUAUGUGUAAGACACAAAUUAAAUUUAGCAGCAGUUAAUUAAUUUGUCUCUUCUUUAGACACAUUUAAACCAACCAUUAAACUUAAAAACACAAAAUUAAUAAGUUCAAAUUGAGACAUAUUUAUGAGCUGAAACUUAUUAACUAACUUAAUUUAAAGCAUGAAAUUUAUUCUAGCAAGUAAAUCAAAUAAAAUAAAAAGAUGGAAAACGAGUUCAUUGAGCUAGAAUCGAGCUUAUUUAAGCUCAACGAGCUAAAUUUGAGCUAGGUAAGCUUGCAAAAGAUGAUAAGCCUCGCUUGGGAAGCUGAUCCAAGGGUGUUCUCAAGCGGGAUCGUAUCAUUCCCUCCCUCUUUGGAGCGAUAUGUCCCCAAAUCAGGCCACUUGCUCGAAAAGAAAUUUUACAUCGUCACCAGCCCUUUGGUCAAUGGAAUGUGUUGAGCUAGAAUCGAGCUUAUUUAAGCUCAACGAGCUAAAUUUGAGCUAGGUAAGCUUGCAAAAGAUGAUAAGCCUCGCUUGGGAAGCUGAUCCAAGGGUGUUCUCAAGCGGGAUCGUAUCAUUCCCUCCCUCUUUGGAGCGAUAUGUCCCCAAAUCAGGCCACUUGCUCGAAAAGAAAUUUUACAUCGUCACCAGCCCUUUGGUCGAUGGAAUGUGCAUAGUUGCUCCCCAAAACCUACAAAUCAGACAUGCCUUGAAUAGGACACAAGUUAUUUUUAUGCCCUCCCUCUUUAAGGGGGAACCACUUCGAAGUGUCACCUACACAAAAAUUAAAUAGAUUAGUGACACCAUGGUUUAUAAGUUCAAAAGGUCUUCUUAAGAUCUUAUGCAAAAAUUGAACAAAUGAACCAAUGCCGGUAUCAAAAGUAAAAGUUGAUUUUUCCUUCCCGCAAUGAGUUAAGAAUUUCUUCGUUGGAGAUAUACCAGAAUCAAGAAGCAUUCGGGAAUUAUAAUUUUGGACAACAAAAGUCCAUGACUUAAAAUCUUUGAACAAUGAUGUAGAACCAAAGCUUUGAUUUACCAUUUGCAACUUGUCAUAGUUCAACAACUUUGUUUUUAUAUUUAAAGUCAUAACAUCAAGCAAGCACAAAUGGUUCACACAUCUAUUCACACAAAAUUCAGAAUGCUUGAUUGCAUUCAAUGAUGAUCCAAAAUAACAAAAUGUUCGAUAGUUAUGGUCUCGAAAAUCAAAAUCCAUUGGUUAAAAUCCCUCGAUCAAUAAUAAAGAAUAAUAAGCACCUGGAUUAAAAAUGAAGUUUUUGCUUACCAUCUCACAUUGACUUGAAUAUUUCUUAACUGGCAGCUUGGUAGGAACACGAAGCAAACUACAGUUAUAAGUAUGCAAUUCAUGUUUGAAUCCCUUAAACCACAAUAUGGAGCAAUUUCUAGAAUCAUAAAUUGAAUUUUGACUUUGGAAGCCAACAAUAUUCACAUGCUUUGUCUUUACACAUAGCGAUAAAAUUCAGAAAAGAUGAGAAGGUUCAACAUAUUUAUUCCAAACAAAAUUAGAGUACUCACCUUUAUUUAGCAACAACUUAAGAUAACUUGCUUCGGGCUUAAACACACGGUUUUGGUCAUUCUUUGUUAAAAACAGCAAAGGCUUUUUCAAACAUGCAAAAUUUAUACAACAAGGUAGAUCCGUCACACCAUCACCAUGUUCAUUUGAACUAAGCACUUUGCAUAGCAACCUUUUAUUACACAAGCUCGAAAUAUUUUCAUGAUGAUUGAAUCUCACUUCAUCCACAUAUUGAUCGAUGCAACAAUUAUCAUUAACAAAAUUUUCCUUGCCAUCAUUAAGAUCAACCACAUCAAGGUAUAGUUCUUUUCCAAAACCCACGUCAUAAGCAAUGUCGUUACUAUGAAUCAAAUAAGGUUGAUUAAAGGAUAUAGAAACCUCACCUUGCUUACUUUUAGGCAUAGGUGGACUAGGGCCACCCAGAAUGCGACUUUCUCCACCCAAGAUGAACCGUCGCUCCUUUGGGAGGUAAAGUAGUUGAAACUCGUCACAUGGAUCAUUAAAAACCAGAAAGAAAGAAACAGAACAAGGACAACUCAUAUGGGGGUUAGUUAAAAUUUCGUUCUCUUUUUCUUGUUCUCGUUCACUAUCUUCAUUUCCUCUCGUUUCUUUUUCAACAUCUUUUUCUUUUUCAAUUUUUUUCUCAAUCUCAAUUUCUUUUUCAAUUUUCUUUUCUUCAUUUUCUUUUUCUCUCACUUUUUCGAUUUCUUUUUCUUUGCAAUUUCUUUUUCUUUUUCAUUUUCUCGCUCGCACUCUUGUUCUUUUUCUUCAUUUUAAUUUUUGUUACAAUGUGAAGAUGAUACAAAAGAGUCAAAAAGAUAAUCGUUUGGCUCAAAGAAAGAGACAGUAUUUUCGUAGGCUUCUCGUUCAUUUCUUCGGGAAUAAUCCUUUGGAAAGGACUUCUUUGAAGCGUACAAGGAAUAACUCGUCCUUUCUCGUUCGUCAUAUCGAAAAGUCGCAAGCUUAAAGCUGUCGCAUCUUGAAUUCCUUGAUGAAUAGGAAUCGCGAUAAGAAUUCCUUAGCAGGUAGUCUUUAGAUGUGUAUCACCGUGAUGAUCUCGGCUCCGUUUCUUGACUUGGUGGAUUUUGUUUCCGUCGGGCCUUUUCUUCCACUCGGUCCAAACAUCUUUUUAAUGGGCUUAGUUUUUCCUCCAACAUUCGGUCCAUCUCGUUCACCAAGUAUUGAAAUUCAUCGAUAGAGGAUUCUUCUCGAGACAUGAUUUAAUUGCUGAAAAAGAAUAGUGAUUAAAACAAAACAAAAAUUAAAUACCUCACCACAAAAAUCUCACGUUUCACUCGCAAAGAAAAUUGGAUAGCACUCCACUCGUGUUUACGCUCGUUUAAGGGCUUUUGCUCGCUCUAAUGUACUCACCACUCGUGCCUUUUUUUGCUCAUCUCACUCUCAUGAAUUCGUAUUUUGUUUCAAGAAGACUUAUUGCAGCUUAGAGGGUCGGCUUCAAAUGGGUGCAAAGGAUAACGUUAGGGUGUAUAGGGUAGGCUGAAACAAGGAAAAUAAAAAUCAAAGUAUGUGUGGCAUUUUGGGGGGGUAGAAGGAAAGGUAGAAUGAAUGGAUGUUCGAAAGUAACAAGAAAUGAUAACAAAAUAAAACUCACAAGACUUUUCACUUUUUUUUUAUACUUUGAUUUUUUUUGAAUCUUUUUUUUAUUUUUUUCGAUUUUUUUUUACUUUUCCACUUUUUUUGAUUUUUUUGUUCAAUUACAAUAUGCUGAAAUACAAAGAAAAAAAUUACAACCUGAAUUUUUUUUGAGUUUUUUUUUCACAUUACGAACCUACUCCGAGCUUGAUACGAACGUCAGAAUUCCUCGUUUUAGUAGCUCUGAUACCAAAUGAUGUGAUCCGGCUCGGUUGAUUGACUUGAUUCACUUGAUUGCCCGAUCGUCGACGAGGAGUAGUUGGAGUUGUCAAAAUUGGGUGAUUUAGGCUAAGGUUUGCGGAAGCUUUGAAAGGGGUUUAGAUGAGUGGUUUGGUGUUGGUAGGUUCAGUUUAGAUUAGAAACAAGGUAGGAUAGAAAAGGUAAUUGAUGGAGAUGGAAAAUAGAACUUAAACGUCAAGAAAGUUUCAAUACUAUAAUGAGUAUCGCCCCAAAUCUUAUAUGGUUUAAGGUGAAAAGAUGGAAACAGGAAUAUAUAUAAGUUCGGAAGUAAGAACCGAAGGUAUAUUGAAAUGGAUGAACGCCACACCAGGAUUGGUGAUAAGUUCGGAAGGAGUUCGGUUGACACCACUAGCACGCUAGAUAAGCCAAA